CAGCAGCCGCGGUAAUACGGAGGGGGCUAGCGUUGUUCGGAAUUACUGGGCGUAAAGCGCACGUAGGCGGCUUGGUAAGUUAGAGGUGAAAGCCCGGAGCUCAACUCCGGAAUUGCCUUUGAGACUGCCGAGCUAGUAGGUGAGAGAGGUGAGUGGAAUUCCGAGUGUAGAGGUGAAAUUCGUAGAUAUUCGGAAGAACACCAGUGGCGAAGGCGGCUCACUGGACGACUGUUGACGCUGAGGUGCGAAAGCGUGGGGAGCAAACAGGAUUAGAUACCCGCGUAGUCCCUGUCUCUUAUAC
rnacentral:rRNA from 1 species